GGAUUAGAUACCCUGGUAGUCCUAGCCGUAAACGAUGGGUACUGGGUAGAAAGCGUUCCGAUGGCGCCUUCUGCCGGAGCGAAAGCGUUAAGUACCCCGCCUGGGGAGUAUGGCCGCAAGGCUGAAACUCAAAGGAAUUGACGGGGGCUCACACCAGCGGUGGAGCAUGUGGCUUAAUUCGAGUCUACGCGAAGAACCUUAUCCUGGAUUUGACAUGCACGGAUUAACUCCCUGAAGGGGAGCCACGCCUUCGGGUGGAACGUGCACAGGUGCUGCAUGGCUGUCGUCAGCUCGUGCUG
rnacentral:rRNA from 1 species